GGUGAUGUCAGGAAUUCCAAAGGGUUCGCCUCGGGUUUUGAGAAAUUCGGGGCGGGUCCUUUCAAUGUUAUCUAUCUUUCGCACUUUACUUUACGCAUUUGUCUUCAAAUUAUAUUUAAGUUUAAGCACAUUUACUUUACGCACUUGUUCUCCGUUUCGUUACAUUUCACCUUCCAUCUACAUCUCUACCCACUCCACAUCAUUUGGUCACUCACAUAAAGCCUUGACCCCGAGGUAGUGAAAGAACCUAGGCCGUGAGGAGGUUUCUUGCUUGGCCGAACAAUCGUUUGAUUAAAGUCAGAUUUUGGACGCAACACAUCCAUCUACUCACAUUCCAUUCAAGCCCAAAUUCGGGGUUUGGUGGUGGCACGCUCCGCACUCAAAAAAGAAGAAGGACCAAAAGUUCCUUCCGUCGGCCGCCCCGGGCGAAAAGAGGGAAACAUAAUUUGGCACGCCCGGUGGGACCACUAGGUUUUGUAUGGUCGUAAACACUAGGAGGAAUCCUAGAAGAGAUCAAGAAUUUGAAGAAUCUAGACUUCGGUCGGAAUCAGAGACAAG
rnacentral:lncRNA from 1 species